AAUACAUGUAGAGCAAGAAACACAAUCACAAGAAACAAAAUACACACUAGCAUAUUAUAUUAGUCUUUGUUGAAUUCAAUUUCCUUCACAUAACAUGUUUUCUUUGUAUAGAUCACUUUCAUGGCAGGAGACUGAAGGAGUUCUUCUUGGAGCUCUUUCUCACUAUCAUUAGAAUCCAUGUCAGCCUGAAACAGCACAUUGGCUGACACCUCAAAUCUUCUUCGAAUCAUUAGUUGGACGAUAUUACAGUGUUGGCAUCGUGCACUUAGAGAGUCUUUGAGUUCCUUUAGAACUUUUGCAGAGCAGUUCACACAGGACACAUGCACAUUGAAGUUUGUGCAGCCGAUGAUCUUCGCUUCUACUUGACUAGUAUCCUCCUCCUCGAUCACUUUUGCAGGUGUGCUAGCAUCAUUCAUCAGCUCAAAUUUACUUGAACGAGAAAAUAAAUUUAUGGAGCCACUGCUAUUACUGAUAACGACGUCUCGAACAGUUCCAGUUGAGACAGCACGAACAGGUGCCAAGUAGACUACAGUAACAUUUAAACAGGUGUAACCUUCACAUCAAAUUUUUUUGGAGAUUGGGUAACAAGUGUCGUUUUGUUGACGAGGAUCUCCAAAUCGUCUGACCGGCUCUUCUUAAUAACACAGCUGUCGAGUAUAACGGGUUCUUGCCUUAGGUGGUAUGACGACAGCUUCUCCUGUGUAGCAACAUCAAAUCCAACGAGAGGUACUUUAUUUUUGCCAUCACUAACAAUACCCC